AAUGGGCGAAAGCCUGAUCCAGCCAUGCCGCGUGCAGGAUGAAGGCCUUCGGGUUGUAAACUGCUUUUGUACGGAACGAAAAGACUCCUUCUAAUAGAGGGGGUCCAUGACGGUACCGUAAGAAUAAGCACCGGCUAACUACGUGCCAGCAGCCGCGGUAAUACGUAGGGUGCAAGCGUUAAUCGGAAUUACUGGGCGUAAAGCGUACGUAGGUGGUUUGUUAAGCCAGCUGUGAAAUCCCCGGGUUCAACCUGGGCACUGCAGUUGGAACUGGCCAGCUAGAGUAGGGUAGAGGGGUGUGGAAUUCCCUGUGUACCGCUGAAAUGCGUAGAUAUCUGGACGAACAUCAUUGGCCAAGGCGACACCCUGUACUCACUACUGACACUGACGUACCAAAUCCUGCGGAGCAAACUCGCUUACAUACCCUGCGAAUUCCCUCGCCCCCAAACGAUGU
rnacentral:rRNA from 1 species